CCUACGGGAGGCAGCAGUGGGGAAUAUUGCACAAUGGGGGAAACCCUGAUGCAGCGACGCCGCGUGAGUGCAGAAGUCUUUCGGUAUGUAAAGCUCUAUCAGCAGGGAAGAAAAUGACGGUACCUGAUUAAGAAGCCCCGGCUAACUACGUUCCAGCAGCCGCGGUAUUACGUAGGGGGCAAGCGUUAUCCGGAUUUACUGGGUGUAAAGGGGACGUAGAAGGCAGCACAAGGCGGGGGUGAAAUGCCCGGGCUUAACCCCGGAACUGAUUGGGAAACUGGGCAGCUAGAGUGCAGUAGAGGUAAGUGGAAUUACUAGUGUAGCGGUGAAAUGCGUAGAUAGUAGGAGGAACACCAGUGGCGAAGGCGGCUUACUGGACUGUAACUGACGUUGAGGCUCGAAAGCGUGGGGAGCAAACAGGAGUAGAUACCCUUGUAGUC
rnacentral:rRNA from 1 species